rnacentral:lncRNA from 1 species
AAGCCUCGAGGACUGGAUAAUCCUUGCAUGCAUUGUCGUAAUCAUUUAUUUGUGUACCUGAAUUUUAUUCAAUAAGACAAACACAGUUAUUUUAAAAUCGUAAUUGAUGACACCGUAAAUAAAUAAAAACUGAUAAAAAUUAUUAUACGUAAAUUUACCCUCAUACACUCAUAAUUACACCUGGUUUACUCAUCAUGGACCUCUUAGUUGUAUGCUUUAUUUAAAUAUUUGAGGCUGUUUACCCGCAAAUAAUAAUAACAUAAUAAUUAUUUUUGUGGAAAUAUUUGUGUGGCUUUGCUGAAUCUGAUUAGAACUUGCUUCAUCAAAAAAUUUAGUAUACAAAAGGGAAUUAAUGUUUAUUAAUACUGUGUCUUUCAUUGUAUAUUUAAGGUGGAAAUAUUUAUUAUUAUUAUUUCUUUUAUUUUAGACAUUUCUAAAAGAAAGUUUCCAUGAAGCAAGUCUUGAUCCAACAUAUUGCAAUUAUGUAGUAGGUGGAAGAAUAGCAUACCUGUGUUCUGUUCUUGUGGAAGAUACUGCUGUUGUUUUCUGUGGUCCAGGCCCAAGAAUUCUGGUGGCAGUUGAUUUAGAUUUAUGAGAUGCUGUUCCUGCCGAAGAUAGCUCCAACUUAUUUAAUGAAACUGAAACUUAACUUCAUUCUUCCUGAGAAUGGCAUCAACUGGAAGUCGUUGGUGGCAACCAUCAGGUUUCUUUGAAGAUGCCUGCAUUAGAUGAUGACAUUUCUAUUGAUGGUUCUGAAAUCAAUGCAUUUGAGUUAUUGGAUGAUUUGAGAGCAAGGAACUUGAUCCUACAAACUGGUGGUUUGGGCCAUACUCUGAGGAUUCUCCUGAAACUGUGAUAAGAUAUUCACUGCAUAUGUAAUAUCAGGCCUUGUCCUGUUAGCUACAA